UAGAAUCGGAAGGGACGGAUAACCCUGUAGAUGGUAAACACCCGGAAUGAAUUGGGACCGUUGGAAUUUUGGGAGAGAGCGUUGGAAUCGGAGGAGGAAGUGAGACUGUAGGAUAUCAUGAGGGUCUUACAUGGGUGGAAGUGACCGGGUCUUCCGGAAACGGCAGUGAAAAGGAUCUGCAAGAGGAGGAGGAGGAAGCUAAGGUAUUUGAUUGCUGACGACGCCAUUCUCGUCGGAGACGGAGUAGUUGAAAUUUGG
rnacentral:lncRNA from 1 species